rnacentral:rRNA from 1 species
GAUGAACGCUGGCGGCGUGCCUAAUACAUGCAAGUCGAGCGAACAGACGAGGAUCUUGCUCCUCUUACGUUAGCGGCGGACGGGUGAGUAACACGUGGAUAACCUACCUAUAAGACUGGGAUAACUUCGGGAAACCGGAGCUAAUACCGGAUAAUAUAUUGAACCGCAUGGUUCAAUAGUGAAAGACGGUUUUGCUGUCACUUAUAGAUGGAUCCGCGCCGCAUUAGCUAGUUGGUAAGGUAACGGCUUACCAAGGCAACGAUGCGUAGCCGACCUGAGAGGGUGAUCGGCCACACUGGAACUGAGACACGGUCCAGACUCCUACGGGAGGCAGCAGUAGGGAAUAUUCCGCAAUGGGCGAAAGCCUGACGGAGCAACGCCGCGUGAGUGAUGAAGGUCUUCGGAUCGUAAAACUCUGUUAUUAGGGAAGAACAAAUGUGUAAGUAACUAUGCACGUCUUGACGGUACCUAAUCAGAAAGCCACGGCUAACUACGUG